rnacentral:lncRNA from 1 species
GGCUGCGCAGGAGCGGACAGCGGAGAGGCGGUACUGACCGGUGCGAGGCGGUGCUGACCGGUGCGGGCCGGUGCGGGCCAGUGCAGGCCAGGCCCGGCCGGGGCGAGGCAGGUGGCCAGGUCCGAGGACCGCGUCGCACAGCAGCUUUCAGGACCUGGAGAGAAAUCGAGGUGGGGGUGCGUGAACGUGGAUGGGCAGAAAUAACAUCUUUUGUACUCUAAUUGGAACAUAGCAUGUCCUUUAAUUAUGAACGCAAUGAGCUAUAGUAGCACUACUGAUUUCAGAGAUGGCGCAAUCUCGCUUUCCUUCCUUAGUACUUUGAAAUUGCAGUGGGUAUUAGACCCGCUGCUAGACCGUGUCAUUCACUGGGUUAAGAAGGAAGCCCAGGUAGCGCCACGUCACAGACCCCUUUUAGUAUUCUGAUAACUAUAAUUUAAAUCUAAUCGGCAUUUAAGAGCCUACAGGCUUGCCCAGACUGCCAAAGGCGUCUCUGGCACACACACACGCACACACACUAACAUGCACACAAGCAGACACACAUGCACGCAGACACGCACAUGAACACAUGCACACGCACACUUGCAUGUACACACGUGUGUACACAUACACACAUGCAUGGUUGAGAACCUCUCUGGAGAGGAAAGGCAACACCAGUGUGUCCGCUAUGUAGUGGUUUAUCAGACAGUUUAUUGUGGACAUGGACAUGAAUAAGAAAGGGGCACUGCUAAUUAGGCCAAGGCAGUGGAUAUGAGGUGGGACUGUCCCUAGCACACUGGGACCAGGGCUACCCUGAGGCCUGCAGGACACCGGGAGCUGUGUGUGAGUUUGCAUCUCUGUAGGCGCGUGGCUGUGAGUGUGGGGGAACCUGGUGAAACGCAUCUGAGGAGGGGAGGGGGUGUCUGCCACUGUUCUGGGUGUGUGUGUAUGUGUGUGUGUGUGUGUGUGUAUAGGGCAUUCUGAUCUCUAGUACCUGGGUUCUAGCAGAUGCCUGACCUACAGCCCUGUGUUCAGCCUGGUCAUUCCAGCUCUCAGAGAGACCUUGCCCAGCCAUUUCCUGGGGUAGCAAAUGGUCUGGAACCAGUCUGUCUUGCCUCCCCUGAGGGAGACAGGCGGGCUACUUGUGUAGCCUUCUUACCUCACUAAACUCUUCCUUCCUUCCAUGAUGAUCCCCGUUUUACAGACACAGAAACUGAGGCCCAGAAGAGCUGAAUAUUUGGCCCAGGCCACACAGGGAGUCCAGCCACGGGUGAUGAGGGGCUGAGGAUCGGGGAGGGACAGGAAACCUGGCCUUUCUGAGCCUUGCUGUCCUUAUCUGCUGCGUCAGGAGGUGAGAGGAAGAUGUUUGGGGCUGAGCUAGCAGAGAGGACACUGAGCUUUUGGCCUCUCCCCUGUGUAAACCCCACCAUGACUCCCCAUUGCCACGGCAUCAAGUCCCAGUUCCAUGGCCUGACAUUCCGGUCCCUGCCCCCUUCAGAUUCAUUGCCCAUCACUCCCCGUCCACUCCCUGCACUCCAGCCACCCUGGCCACCAGCCCUUCCUAGCACCCUCCAAGACCCUUCUCAUCUCCACGCCUCUGCCCAUUCUGUACCUGGCAAACUCCUACGCAUCCUGCAAUGCUCAGCUCUGAGCACCCCACACAGAGUUGGCAUCUGCCUGCUGUGUGCCCCCACCGCCCUCACACAUCCCUGCAGGUAGUCCUUCUCAGGACUGAUGCAGCAAAAUAAGAUCCGAGUCCCCAGCACCUAGCACCGUGCAUAAAGCAGGCACUAACAAAUGCGUGUCGAAUGAAUAAGCAAAUGUGUGCGUGCACACUCCACCCGCCCCCCUCCUCAUGAACUGCUUGAGAGAAGGGCUGGGUCCUUUCCAGCUACUCAGGUGGCAAUCGGAGUUUGUCCAAUGUCCAGGCUGGAGCCAGAGUUGAAGGGAGGAGCAGGCUGGGGGUGGUGGUGGCUGCAUUUGGUGUUAGGAGGCCCAGGCUGGGCCUGUGAGCUGGACACCCCACCCCAACACCUGAGGUAUCUGCUCCAGGUCCCUCUCUGCAUGCUCCUGGAUGGGGCUUGGCUGUGGCUUCCACUCAGGCCCCUGGAUAUCCCCACUGCAGCUUGGCCCUCUGUGACUCACUCUUUCUUGGCCCUAAAGGUCAGUGCAGGGCCAGGCCUCGUCCUCUUCUCUGUCCAUUUAUCAGGUCGGAAGCUCAAGGCUGACCUGGCUGGGGCCAAGGUUUAUGUGCUUGUUCACCCCACCCAGCACCUCUGACCUUGUGAAACAUGCCAGGAAGGGUGGGGACAGGAAGGUGACACUAGGGCCUCUGUGUCUGCCCCGGGGCACUGUCAGCUGGGUCAGGAUUUAUGCCCUGAUGUUCCCACCCCCAGACCUGGUCACCAGGCCCACGCCCUAGGUCUGGUGCUGAGCCAUCCCUGCAGGGGGCCCAGCAAAGCCUGAGGGCUGGGAGCUGGCUGGGGUGCGGGGUGGGCCGGGGUUGGGGGUUGGCAGGAGGCAACUGCAGAUUAGGUCCCAAGUGAACACUGCUAGCGUCUUUGUCCUGCUGAGAGACAUCGGCUGGGACAUCUUGCCUCCUGGGGCCUGUUUCCGCAACUGUAAAUGGGCAUUGCCUUAGUAGCCACCCUUUGGGGCUCUUGGAUAGCACAUGUCCACAGAACCUCAGCUAAUGUGCCUGCCUGCAGUGUUCCCCAUUUUCUUUUGGGGAGCUCCCCUUGCCAGUACCAACGCACAUGGUCUUUGCUGGGCCAUCCUUUGCACACUGUAUCUCCAGACCUGGGGCUUGAGAGGGCGCCUCCUCAACAAGGGCCCCAAACGUGGGCUGGGGCUCCAGGGGCAGGAGGUAAGGGAAGAGGUGGUUUUAGUGGGUUUGCUGGCAGCAAUCUGAAUCCAGGGGUUGCAGCGGAAGGAAUUGGAGAUGGGAGGAGGCGCAAGGCCAGUUGGAUCAGGGGAUACGCAGGAGAUGGUGUCUUUGGUCACCCAGUUGCUCAGUCGGAAACCUGGACAGCCUGGCCCCUGCCCGUCCCCUCAUCUCCUAGCCAGCGGUGAGUCUUGCACAGCCCUCCGCCCACCCACUCCAGCACUCGCCACUUCCUGCCUCUUCCCCUACCUCUACUGCCCCGGCCUGCUUCCACUACCUGCGUCUCUCACCGACGUCACUGCAAUCGCCUCCUCGGAGGCCUCUGCCUCCUCUCUUCUCCACACCCUCACCCUCCAUUGUCACUACCUUGCUCCUCACAGCUGGCUAAGCCAUUAUGACUAAUGACUGUUCUCAGCUCCCAGCCCCAUGGUUUCCAUCACACCAGGAUACAGUCACAUUCCUUGCCGUGGCCUGUGAGACCCACAGAGUCCUGGCACUGCCGCCCCCUGAACCUCCUCUCCCUCCCCUUUCUCUGCCGUGUCCACAGCUCAGUGAGCCCAUUCCCACCUCGGGGCCUUUGCACUUGCCGGUCCCUCUGCCUGGCACAUGCUGGCUUCAGUGUUCAUAAAGCUCCCUCCCUCCCGUCACUCAGGUCUCUCCUCAGAUGUCACCUCGUCAGAGUGGCCUGUGCUGACUGCCAUAUCUACAAUACCCUUCCCAACGCCUGGCAUCCGCCUCCUCACUCUUGUAUGAGUGUCUUCAAGGCACGUUCACUUGUGGCUAUUGCUUAAUAUAUUUAGUUGCAGGAGUAUAAUCUGGGGGCCCCUGGGAGACAGACCCUGGCAUGAUGGGUGUUGUGAUGGGGGAAACCGGGCCAUGUCCUGGGGACUGAGAGCAAGUUGCUGCCCUUCUGGGCCUCAGUUUCCCCUUCUGUUCCGUAAGGCCCAGGCUCUCUCCCUGCCCGCUCACGUGUCCUGGGAAUGCUGAGCCUUUGCUUUGUCCUGGAAGUGGGGUUGCCAUGGAAACAGAGGCAGGAGGCUCCAGCAGAGGCAGCAUCCGCCUCCCUUUGUUAGACCCAGGGCCUGCUUUCUGGGGGGCCCCCUUCUGUGGAGGAGUCUGUGCUUCUUGAGGGGCCAGUAGCCUCUACUUGGCCCUGCUCUGGCCGUCCUGCUCCCAGCCCCCAGCUUGCAAUUUGCUUCACUAGAUUGUAAAGCAGAUGAUGAAAGGGCAGUGUACCAGGUUAGGAGUGGAAGGUCAGGGGCAUCAGGACCCAGGGCACCGGGAAGCAGGAGUGUGUUCUCACCUCAAGUGGCUUUAGACAGUUCCCCCAUCGUCCUCUGUGCCCCUAGCCCUGGCACUCCCUCUGCACACAGCUCCGCUUUGAUCAAACCAGUGCCUGGCCCACCUCCCUGCUCCCAUGCCCACUGGGGCAGGAUGUGGGCUUGGCGGGGAGUGACACAUGGCAGCCCUAGGCGUGGCGACAACUGGAGACAUCCCGUCUGCCUCAGGUUCCCCCUUAGGGCCGGGCGAUACAGGAAGGGGGACCUGCUCGUGAGCACAGCUGGGCGAUGGGAUGCCAACUCCUUGCCCAGGUAGCCCCAGGACGGCGCUGCAGCAGGAGUGUCCCUGAUCCCGGGUGGUCGCUCUCCAGCCCGCCAGGCUCUCCGACGGGCUCAACCCGCAGCCCCUGGCCGGGGCUGGGGCCGGGACGCCAGGCCCCUGUGGGGACGGUUCCCUCCAGCAGUUGGCGAGGCUCGGCCGGCCAAGGGGCCGGUUCCUCCCGCUGGCAGCCGCCCGGCCGCCGCCUUCCGCCCUUGCCCGCCCGCGGCCGUCCCCGAGCCGCUCCCGGCCGGGCCUUGAGCGCCUUUUCCUCUUCCCGGCGCCCCGGCCGCCCGGCGCGUCCAGCUAAGCAGGAAGGGCCCGCCCGCGCCCAAGGCCAGGGCCUCAGCCGGAGGUCGCCCGCCGCCAGGGGCCGCUGCGGCGCCGGGGACGCGCGAGGCCUGAGGGUCUCCCAGGCGCGCCCAAGACCCAUCCGCGCCGGCCGCCUGCCCUGCUGCGUCUGCCCACUGCCCCUGGGGCGCGUGAUGGUCCCCUCGACGCUCCGCCCUGGCUUCCCCCAUUAGUGCCAUUAGUGCCUGUGUGAGUGGGACCUGGGUUGGAGGGACCUGCCAAGCUAACCCUAGGGGACCCCUCCUCCAGGGAGCCACCUCCCCCUCGCACUUUCGAGGGGAGUGGCUGCCCAGAGAUAACCAGAGACUGCAGGGCGCCUUGGGCCACCUCUCUGGAAGGCACAGACAGGUGCCAUCCUUUUCUGGGCCUGAAGGCUUUCCCAGAGAGCAGGAGGAGGAAGUCCCGGGAACAUCCCAUUAAGGAGAUGACACUCUCUUAGGUGUCUAUAAUAUCGCUGCUUUGGAAUCUCAGCGGCAGAAUUCAGGACCCCUGCCCUCAGAGUUUCAGUACAGUGUAGCCAUGAGGCACCCGGAUGGCUUGGGUUCAAAUCCCAGCUCUGCCAUUUUCCAGGCAAGUCCCCUAACUUCUCUGGGCCUAGGUUUCCCAUCUGUGAGAUGGGGCUGCUGAUGGUACCAGCCCCAUCGGGUUGUGGCAAGGACUGGACACCCAGUGCAGUUAAGCUCUAGCACAGCACCCGAGGUGAUGAUUACCAUCACUCGCUACAGUGGAUUGGACUCACAGGGUCAGGAGCCCAGAGACUUACAUUGGAGCACAGAGAUUCAGGGUCUUGAGAAAGAUAGCAGGAUCUACCUUGCAGGGAAUAUUUGGUCCAAAAUUUUCUCUUCCUGGGAAGAAAAGGAAAAUGAGAGGCCCCAGUACAUUGAGCCACAGUGGUGAAGUCUGUGCCAGGCCAAGACUGAGGCCUUGGAGAUGCAAACCAGCUAGGUGGCAGGGGCCAGUUGCAAAACACUUUGAGCCCCAGGCUCCCCAUCUGUAAAAUGGGCACUGCUGCCUCUCAUGCGGGGCACGUCAGGGAUGGGGUGUAGCACACAUAGGUGCUUAGCAAACAUGGGGAGGAGUCUCCCCUACUUUAUCACACAGCAAGGGAGGCUUUCAUGGGGAGACUGGGCCGGCUGUCUCCUUCUUCCCAGGAGAGAGUGAUGACAACAGCUGUCGGGCCAUCCUCGAAAGGUGCUGGGCAGGUGGAGGGCAGCCCUCGGUGCCCCUGGUUGUCCCCUGAGCCAUCCAUCCCUCUUCCCUGCUGUGGCUUCCAUGCCCUGAGCAGCAAGUGGGAGGUGAACAGUAGUUGGAGAGGGGGCAGGUGGGCACACCAGGUGUGGGUGCUUAUGAAGGCACAGAUUCAGAGCAGGGACAGGUUCAACAUCAGUGAGAUGGGGGCUUUGUGACCAUCUUCAGUAGCCUCGCACUGUACCUACAUGGAACUGAAGCAGAGGAGGAUAAGGGACUUGCCCAAAGCCACAUGGCCAGACAGAGGUGUGUAGGACGAAGUGGGCCAAGCCCGUAUGUCUCUUGCAUGAGCAAUGUCCAUGCCUGAUUCAUUUCUAUAGACCCCUCUGUAUCAGCAUGGAGCAGCAUGAAGAUAUAUUUGUUGAGUGGAUGACUGUGUCUGUCAGGCCACAUUACCAAAGGUCUAUACUUGCAACGAGGGAGGGGACAUCCAGUUUUGCUUUAUUCUCUGAGCUCUCUGGCUCCUAUGCUCAGCUCCAGACACAUCAGUGGACCCUGAGAUGAACAGCAAGCCCUGGAGACAGCAUUCUGUCAGGAGAUGGGGUGGCUCAGCUUGGAGGGGGUCCCCACUGCUGUCCCUAAUUCUCUGCAGGGUUGUCCUGGGGCAGAAGGGUUAGGAGGAGCUGGUAGAUCUGUGGGCAGGACCGGGACCUUGGGAAGACAGGUCCCAAGCUUAUGAAGAAGUCUCCCAGUUUUACUCAUAGCUGCCGUAUGGGGGUGAACAAGUUGGGACAGCUAUUUAGUGGAAAUGUUCAUGCAGUUAUUUUUCCAAAAGUCUUUAUCGGUCACCUACUGUGUGCCAGACACUGGAGCUGAUAUUAUUUUACUGGAGAAUUUGAUAGUCAACAAAUAAACAAAUCGAUAGUAUGACAUUAGAUGGAGACAAGUAGGAAGAUGAACAACAAAGCAGGACUGGGGUCAGAGGGCACCAGCGAGGGGCCUUGGUUAGACAGCGGGGCUGCCAUUGGGCGGGAAAUGGGAUGAUGUGAAAAGCGAAGCGAAGAGUGCGCCAGGCAGAGGGACCUGCAGGAGCAAAGGCUGGGAAGUGGGAAUGUGCUGACAAGAGGCGUGGCUGGAGUGUAGUGAGCGAGACUCCCGGGCAGUACUGUGCCCUGCACCCCAGUGCCCUCUUGCCUUCUGCCCGGUGCAGUCACCCCUUCCUUACUCAAGCCCGUUCCACAGCCCCAAAGCUCCACGGCCCCAAAGCUCCACAGCCCCAGAGCUCCACAGCCCCAAAGCUCCACAGCCCCAGAGCUGCGUGGCUCCGGAAGGCUGCGUCAACCCCAGCGACCACACGGAGGCAGCAGAGAACACGGCUGGGACGAGGGCGGAGGGUGAGGACUGAAUCUGAGCACCCUGGGGACUCCCAGGUAGCCGGGGCUGGAGACAGGACCCCUCCCUUGCUGCUUCUUUGUACCCAGCAUCACAUCUCUCUUCGAAAGUUCCUCCCUCCUAAGCAGCAUGAACAGUGCCUGCUGAAAUUACAGCUCCACUCCACUGCUCUGGAAGGCUCAUCUCUUCAAGCCUCCAUGCCUGCAUCUGUGAAGUGGCAGCAAGCAGAGUUUCAUCUCUAGGGGGGUACAUCGCAAGUGCUCGGGAACGUUGUCUUCUUGCAACCAUGUGUGCCUCACACAACUACCUGUGUGACUUUGGGCAACUCCCUGAGUCUCAGUUUCCACCCUCGUAAAGUGAUGGUAGGACUAUGGUGUGGGGAUCUUCUGUAUGCCAGGUACACAUGCAUAAUGCAUGCACAGAUCCUGGCACUUAGUCAAUGCCCAGUGACAAUAACUAGUAAUCAUGACAAUUGCAUUGAUGACCUGGGGGCUUAGAGUCGGGAGAGACCUGCUAUUCGGAGGAGAACAUUGAAGCUUGGGAAGAAGAGGUGUUUGCCCACCAUAUACUCACCAGGAAUGAGAGGCCCAGGGGUCCCCUCAAGACUUUUGUCCAUUUGACAGAUGGGGACGCUGAGGUCGGGAGAGGGUUGGCAGCCUGGCCAAGGCCACCCUGUGGCAGGCAUAGGACUAGAAUCCAAGAUGCCUGCUUCCCUUCACGGCUCAUCCAACCAUGUCUUGGGGCCCUCCCUUCUAGGGCAGGUGGUUUCUCAGGCUGCAGCUCCGGAUGUUCCUUUUUCUUCUCCAACCUCCCCCCGCCCACACCCAUGCCAGACUGUGUAAUCUUGGAAAGCUGCAUUCUUGGAAAUCUGGUCCCUUCUAGUCUUUGAAUUCUUCGAACUUCCUAUUGGAGCUGCGGC